UAUUACCUGGCUCAAGAAGUUUUUCUCCAUGCAUUCCAGGAGUCUCCUGGAUUGCUUACAGCUUGCUGUGCCACUUUCCCAGUGGAUGUCAGGGUGUCACAGGUGGAGUGUGA